rnacentral:lncRNA from 1 species
UCUGGUGUCCCGGAAAUAGAGACCAGAAACACUGAUGUCCCACUCCAACGAUAGAGCAGAAGGAAGGAAGGUUUCCCCUGUGGUUUAGAACGUUCCUAACGAAAAUAACUGCAACUCUUGAUUGCACCUCCUGAGGGUCGUUGGGACUUUCCCUCUCAGACAUUUAUUGGUUCAUUCAUUCGUUCAUUUUGCUGUAACUCACAGUGGCCCCCAUCCUAAGGUGCACUGCUGGGAUUGGUCUAUGUGCUGAUGAUGUUCUCCUUGUCUUCAGAGGUGAGAAUGUGCCCUCCCUCCGAGAUGCCCUCUUGCCCCUGAGCUCCCCAGCAGGGAACAGGCUGCCUUGUCUUGUGAGUCCAGAUCCUGGGAACAACUUUCAUUUAGGAAUGGAACAGCAGGUCCUGGGAGCAUUGGCGCCUGCGCGCCCAUCAUGCGCGUGUGUGAUGCAACAUCACCACCUUGUGGCAGCGAGGAGCUAUCACAACGUGGACUGAGGUAGAGACGGAGUUUCACCGUGUUAGCCAGGAUGGUCUCGAUCUCCUGACCUCGUGAUCCGCCUCGUGAUCCUCCUGAUCCUCGAAGCCGCCCGCCUCGGCCUCCCAAAGUGCUGGGAUUACAGGCGGGAGCCACCGCGCCUGGCCGUUCCCUGGGUCUUUUGAGUGGUGUGAGUUGAAUGGUGGUAGAUUCUAGGACAGUUCAGUAGGAGCCCGUCCUCAAAAGGAAAAUAACAGAACUUCCUGCUAAUCUGGUAUUGGGGCUGAGCAAUUACUGCACACUGAUGAGAUUGACCAUAAUUGCAUCCUGAGUUUGAAGAGGAGGUCACGCUACUAAGACGAGAUAAAAUCAGCUCCAACGACAAACAUCAUCUCUGGGGGUUUCCAGAUUCUCAAUUUUCAUUUAAUCCCCAGCCUUAGUGGAAAGCAAGAGUCGGAGUCGGCAUUCUGGGCAGGGAGGCAGGUGAGG